AAAAUGCACAUACUGUGAGCUCGAUGAGUAGGGCGGGACACGUGGUAUCCUGUCUGAAUAUGGGGGGACCAUCCUCCAAGGCUAAAUACUCCUGACUGACCGAUAGUGAACCAGUACCGUGAGGGAAAGGCGAAAAGAACCCCGGCGAGGGGAGUGAAAAAGAACCUGAAACCGUGUACGUACAAGCAGUGGGAGCACGCUUAGGCGUGUGACUGCGUACCUUUUGUAUAAUGGGUCAGCGACUUAUAUUCUGUAGCAAGGUUAACCGAAUAGGGGAGCCGAAGGGAAACCGAGUCUUAACUGGGCGUUAAGUUGCAGGGUAUAGACCCGAAACCCGGUGAUCUAGCCAUGGGCAGGUUGAAGGUUGGGUAACACUAACUGGAGGACCGAACCGACUAAUGUUGAAAAAUUAGCGGAUGACUUGUGGCUGGGGGUGAAAGGCCAAUCAAACCGGGAGAUAGCUGGUUCUCCCCGAAAGCUAUUUAGGUAGCGCCUCGUGAAUUCAUCUCCGGGGGUAGAGCACUGUUUCGGCAAGGGGGUCAUCCCGACUUACCAACCCGAUGCAAACUGCGAAUACCGGAGAAUGUUAUCACGGGAGACACACGGCGGGUGCUAACGUCCGUCGUGAAGAGGGAAACAACCCAGACCGCCAGCUAAGGUCCCAAAGUCAUGGUUAAGUGGGAAACGAUGUGGGAAGGCCCAGACAGCCAGGAUGUUGGCUUAGAAGCAGCCAUCAUUUAAAGAAAGCGUAAUAGCUCACUGGUCGAGUCGGCCUGCGCGGAAGAUGUAACGGGGCUAAACCAUGCACCGAAGCUGCGGCAGCGACGCUUAUGCGUUGUUGGGUAGGGGAGCGUUCUGUAAGCCUGCGAAGGUGUGCUGUGAGGCAUGCUGGAGGUAUCAGAAGUGCGAAUGCUGACAUAAGUAACGAUAAAGCGGGUGAAAAGCCCGCUCGCCGGAAGACCAAGGGUUCCUGUCCAACGUUAAUCGGGGCAGGGUGAGUCGACCCCUAAGGCGAGGCCGAAAGGCGUAGUCGAUGGGAAACAGGUUAAUAUUCCUGUACUUGGUGUUACUGCGAAGGGGGGACGGAGAAGGCUAUGUUGGCCGGGCGACGGUUGUCCCGGUUUAAGCGUGUAGGCUGGUUUUCCAGGCAAAUCCGGAAAAUCAAGGCUGAGGCGUGAUGACGAGGCACUACGGUGCUGAAGCAACAAAUGCCCUGCUUCCAGGAAAAGCCUCUAAGCAUCAGGUAACAUCAAAUCGUACCCCAAACCGACACAGGUGGUCAGGUAGAGAAUACCAAGGCGCUUGAGAGAACUCGGGUGAAGGAACUAGGCAAAAUGGUGCCGUAACUUCGGGAGAAGGCACGCUGAUAUGUAGGUGAAGUCCCUCGCGGAUGGAGCUGAAAUCAGUCGAAGAUACCAGCUGGCUGCAACUGUUUAUUAAAAACACAGCACUGUGCAAACACGAAAGUGGACGUAUACGGUGUGACGCCUGCCCGGUGCCGGAAGGUUAAUUGAUGGGGUCAGCGCAAGCGAAGCUCUUGAUCGAAGCCCCGGUAAACGGCGGCCGUAACUAUAACGGUCCUAAGGUAGCGAAAUUCCUUGUCGGGUAAGUUCCGACCUGCACGAAUGGCGUAAUGAUGGCCAGGCUGUCUCCACCCGAGACUCAGUGAAAUUGAACUCGCUGUGAAGAUGCAGUGUACCCGCGGCAAGACGGAAAGACCCCGUGAACCUUUACUAUAGCUUGACACUGAACAUUGAGCCUUGAUGUGUAGGAUAGGUGGGAGGCUUUGAAGUGUGGACGCCAGUCUGCAUGGAGCCGACCUUGAAAUACCACCCUUUAAUGUUUGAUGUUCUAACGUUGACCCGUAAUCCGGGUUGCGGACAGUGUCUGGUGGGUAGUUUGACUGGGGCGGUCUCCUCCUAAAGAGUAACGGAGGAGCACGAAGGUUGGCUAAUCCUGGUCGGACAUCAGGAGGUUAGUGCAAUGGCAUAAGCCAGCUUGACUGCGAGCGUGACGGCGCGAGCAGGUGCGAAAGCAGGUCAUAGUGAUCCGGUGGUUCUGAAUGGAAGGGCCAUCGCUCAACGGAUAAAAGGUACUCCGGGGAUAACAGGCUGAUACCGCCCAAGAGUUCAUAUCGACGGCGGUGUUUGGCACCUCGAUGUCGGCUCAUCACAUCCUGGGGCUGAAGUAGGUCCCAAGGGUAUGGCUGUUCGCCAUUUAAAGUGGUACGCGAGCUGGGUUUAGAACGUCGUGAGACAGUUCGGUCCCUAUCUGCCGUGGGCGCUGGAGAACUGAGGGGGGCUGCUCCUAGUACGAGAGGACCGGAGUGGACGCAUCACUGGUGUUCGGGUUGUCAUGCCAAUGGCACUGCCCGGUAGCUAAAUGCGGAAGAGAUAAGUGCUGAAAGCAUCUAAGCACGAAACUUGCCCCGAGAUGAGUUCUCCCUGACUCCUUGAGAGUCCUGAAGGAACGUUGAAGACGACGACGUUGAUAGGCCGG
rnacentral:rRNA from 1 species